CUGGGGGUCAGCAGAGCCCAUCACUGCCGAGCACCCCUGCAGGGGGGACUGAAGCUCAGAACCCAAUAGGGAACAGAAAAGAGGGGGAGGCAGCAUCUGGCAGAGUCAAGGCCUCUGCAGUUCUCGGGAAUCUGCUCUGCCGUCCAUCGCAGCAGACAGGCGCGUGGGCUCUGGGGCCACGCUGCCUGGGGUCAGACUCCAGCCCCACUGCUGCAGCGUGUCGGGGGAGCAGCUUAACCUCCCCAAGCCUCAGUGUCCUCCAUCAGGUGGGAUCCUGUUAGCACCCACCUCAGGGGGCUGUGGAAGGAUUCGGGGGAGUCAGGUACGCAGCACUCAGCACAGAGCCUGGCCUGUAGAAAAUGCUCACAGUGUACAGGACACCAUGAGUCAUUCGCUCCCACGGGGACCCACAGGCAACCUGAACACUUUGGCCUGGGCCCUGCCUCGGCAUCUGGCAGCACUGGCCUCUUUUACAUGCUUCCCUCACCUCUGCAUGUAAAAGCGCCGGGUCCUGCUGGUUCUGUGUUAGAUGCUCAGCACCAAGGACAGAGGGCACCUCGGUGCCCAGGGAGGUGCUGCUGAGUGCGCGGUCAGCACCAAGGACAGAGGGCACCUCGGUGCCCAGGGAGGUGCUGCUGAGUGCGCGGUUCAGCACCAAGGACAGAGGGCAGCUGGGCUCAGAGGGAAGCAACACAGGGGCUUUGGUCUUCAGCACCAAGGACAGUAGACGGCUAGAUGCAGGGAAGCUCUGCAGGUCCACACGUUGGGAUUCAAGAUCUGGUAUAGGCUUGGGGCAUGAGAGUUGCCCCAAGAGGAGUCAUCCAGGAGGGGCCAUCCAGGAGAUGGUUGGCUCUCCCAUCUGAAGUGCAGGAAUGAAGUCCAAACGGAGCCUUAGACCCCAGCAGUGUCUCAGGAAUUGUCAGCAGAAGCCCUGGGAGAGGAUGAGAGAUUAUCCAGGAAAAGUGUGCAGAGUGGGAAGAGGGAAAACUCUCUAGUGAACAGCAUUGAGUCUGUCGUACUUUUCAGUCCUCAGCAUGCUGUGGUGUUGGUUCCUGUUGAGCCUCUGUCUCAUUUUAUUUUGCCCCCUUUAUUAUCCCCCAACUUCCUUCUCUCAACUGUGGACACACAUACUUGAUGAAUAUAUGUCGUACCGACGUGCUUGCGUCAAUGUACUUGUAUCCUUAAACUUGCAGGACAGUGGUGGCGCUGUGUGUAUCUGACUUGCAUAAAUGGUAUUCUGUUCUGAAUCUCA